GCUCAGAAUCAACGCUGGCGGCGUGCCUAACACAUGCAAGUCGAACGUGAACGCCACGCAAGGGGUGAGUAGAGUGGCGCACGGGUGAGUAACACGUGGAUAACCUGCCUUUGAGUGGGGAAUAACCUUCCGAACGGAGGGCUAAUACCGCAUAAGACCUUCUGACACAAGUCAGGAGGUUGAACGGAGUAAUUCGCUCGAAGUGGGAUCCGCGCCUGAUUAGCUAGUUGGUGAGGUAAUGGCUCACCAAGGCUGCGAUCAGUAGCCGUCCUGAGAGGGAGUACGGGGACCCUGGAACUGAGACACGGUCCAGACUCCUACGGGAGGCAGCAGUGGGGAAUUUUUGGCAAUGGGCGAACGCUUGACCAAGCAACGCCGCGUGGGUGAUGAAGUAUCUUGGUACGUAACACCAUUUCGGCAGGGACGAAUCCAAUGACGGUACCUGCAGAAGAAGCCACGGCUAACUCCGUGCCAGCAGCCGCGGUAAUACGGGGGGGGCAAGCGUUGUUCGGAAUUACUGGGCGUAACGGGCGCGUAGGCGGUUGGAUAAGUCAGCUGUGAACACCACGAGUUCAACUUGUGGCCUGCAGUUGAGACUGUCUGGCUAGAGUGUGGGAGAGGGAAGUGGAAUUCCUGGUGUAGCGGUGAACUGCGUAGAUAUCAGGAGGAACACCGGUGGCGAAGGCGGCUUCCUGGAGGACCACUGACGCUGAGGCGCGAACGCUAGGGGAGUAACCAGGAUUAGAUACCAUGGUAGUCCUAGCUGUAACCGAUGGAUACUUGCUGUGGGGG
rnacentral:rRNA from 1 species